GAUGAACGCUAGCUACAGGCUUAACACAUGCAAGUCGAGGGGUAGCAGGGUAGCAAUACCGCUGACGACCGGCGCACGGGUGAGUAACACGUAUCCAACCUUCCCAUGACUCAGGGAUAGCCUUUCGAAAGAAAGAUUAAUACCUGAUAGUACUUAUUUAAGGCAUCUUUUAUAAGUUAAAGAUUUAUCGGUUAUGGAGUGGGGAUGCGUUCCAUUAGAUUGUUGGUGAGGUAACGGCUCACCAAGUCUUCGAUGGAUAGGGGUUCUGAGAGGAACGGUCCCCCACAUUGGUACUGAGACACGGACCAAACUCCUACGGGAGGCAGCAGUGAGGAAUAUUGGUCAAUGGGCGAGAGCCUGAACCAGCCAAGUAGCGUGAAGGAUGAAGGUCCUAUGGAUUGUAAACUUCUUUUAUAGUAGAAUAAAGUGAUCCACGUGUGGUAUUUUUGUAUGUAUACUAUGAAUAAGGAUCGGCUAACUCCGUCCAGCAGCCGACGGUAAACAUACUCGUA
rnacentral:rRNA from 1 species